rnacentral:rRNA from 1 species
UAGCUACAGGCUUAACACAUGCAAGUCGAGGGGAUACGACAUCGAAAGCUUGCUUUUGAUGGGCGUCGACCGGCGCACGGGUGUGUAACGCGUAUCCAACCUGCCCACCACUUGGGGAUAACCUUGCGAAAGUAAGACUAAUACCCAAUGAUAUCUCUAGAAGACAUCUGAAAGAGAUUAAAGAUUUAUCGGUGAUGGAUGGGGAUGCGUCUGAUUAGCUUGUUGGCGGGGUAACGGCCCACCAAGGGCAACGAUCAGUAGGGGUUCUGAGAGGAAAGGUCCCCCACAUUGGAACUGAGACACGGUCCAAACUCCUACGGGAGGCAGCAGUGAGGAAUAUUGGUCAAUGGACGAGAGUCUGAACCAGCCAAGUAGCGUGCAGGAUGACGGCCCUAUGGGUUGUAAACUGCUUUUAUAAGGGAAUAAAGUGAGUCUCGUGAGACUUUUUGCAUGUACCUUAUGAAUAAGGACCGGCUAAUUCCGUGCCAGCAGCCGCGGUAAUACGGAAGGUCCGGGCGUUAUCCGGAUUUAUUGGGUUUAAAGGGAGCGUAGGCUGGAGAUUAAGCGUGUUGUGAAAUGUAGACGCUCAACGUCUGCACUGCAGCGCGAACUGGUUUCCUUGAGUACGCACAAAGUGGGCGGAAUUCGUGGUGUAGCGGUGAAAUGCUUAGAUAUCACGAAGAACUCCGAUUGCGAAGGCAGCUCACUGGAGCGCAACUGACGCUGAAGCCCGAAAGUGCGGGUAUCGAACAGGAUUAGAUACCCUGGUAGUCCGCACGGUAAACGAUGGAUGCCCGCUGUUGGUCUGAAUAGGUCAGCGGCCAAGCGAAAGCAUUAAGCAUCCCACCUGGGGAGUACGCCGGCAACGGUGAAACUCAG